UACGUAGGGUGCGAGCGUUAAUCGGAAUUACUGGGCGUAAAGGGUGCGUAGGUGGUGAGGAAAGUCUGAUGUGAAAUCUCCAAGCUUAACUUGGAAAUGGCAUUGGAAACUACCUUGCUAGAGGGUUGAAGGGGGGACUGGAAUGCUCGGUGUAGCAGUGAAAUGCGUAGAUAUCAGGAGGAACACCGAUGGCGAAGGCGGGUCUCUGGGCCACUACUGACGCUGAGAAGCGAAAGCAUGGGGAGCGAACAGG
rnacentral:rRNA from 1 species